UAACACAUGCAAGUCGAGGGGCAGCAUUUUACUAGCAAUAGUAAAGAUGGCGACCGGCGCACGGGUGAGUAACACGUAUCCAACCUGCCGAUAACUCGGGGAUAGCCUUUCGAAAGAAAGAUUAAUAUCCGAUAGUAUAUUUUCUCCGCAUGGCGAGAAUAUUAAAGAAUUUCGGUUAUCGAUGGGGAUGCGUUCCAUUAGGCAGUUGGUGAGGUAACGGCUCACCAAACCUUCGAUGGAUAGGGGUUCUGAGAGGAAGGUCCCCCACAUUGGAACUGAGACACGGUCCAAACUCCUACGGGAGGCAGCAGUGAGGAAUAUUGGUCAAUGGGCGCGAGCCUGAACCAGCCAAGUAGCGUGAGGGAUGAAGGCUCUAUGGGUCGUAAACCUCUUUUAUAUGGGAAUAAAGUUUUCCACGUGUGGAAUUUUGUAUGUACCAUAUGAAUAAGGAUCGGCUAACUCCGUGCCAGCAGCCGCGGUAAUACGGAGGAUCCGAGCGUUAUCCGGAUUUAUUGGGUUUAAAGGGAGCGUAGGUGGAUUGUUAAGUCAGUUGUGAAAGUUUGCGGCUCAACCGUAAAAUUGCAGUUGAAACUGGCAGUCUUGAGUACAGUAGAGGUGGGCGGAAUUCGUGGUGUAGCGGUGAAAUGCUUAGAUAUCACGAAGAACUCCGAUUGCGAAGGCAGCUCACUAGACUGUCACUGACACUGAUGCUCGAAAGUGUGGGUAUCA
rnacentral:rRNA from 1 species